ensembl:lncRNA
GCGGUACAUGUAUUCCGUUACUCCCCAACACUGCCUGCAGGUUUUAGAUAUCCACCUGGGGCCAACACACCUGAAUCAAAUGAUUAGUUCAUUACCAGGCCUCGGGAGAACUUCAAGGCAUGUUGCAGAAGUAAUUUAGCCAUUUAUCUGCUGUGAUGGAUCAAGGACACAUCUAAAGCCUGCAGGAAACUUGUUGGACACCCCUGAGUUAGGGUUUCUCAGGUGACUUGGAGAUAAACAUAACAUACUGAAAAAAAUUUAAUUGGCAUAUAUUUUUUAUUAUCUUUAUUACUAAAUGUUGAUGUUAUUCAAAUAUGUUAAAAGAUAGUGUGUACAGAAUUUUUUUUACACAAACAGUAGAAACACACCAGCCACCCAUGGCUGUUCUGCGGUACCGUCUGGAUUUAACGUUGUCUGAUCUCUCUCGGCUGACUAAAACACAUUUGUCCUACGGUGACCACCACAGCUUGGAUUAUGUAUGUGAAUUGGUAGUGGAAAGACAACAGAAUUCAGUUGACUUAAACUGCAAUCUACUGACAUCUAGUGGUGAGAUUUUACACACUCUACCUUUAAAACACAUACUUGGGCAAGGGAUGUCAAAAACCCAUUGUAUUUCAAGACCCACAUAAACACUUUAAACUUAAAUUAGUUUAAAGUGUUAUGUUUGUAUUUCAAUACAUAUUUUGUGCAUUUUUAAUCUUGUAGUGAAAUAUCCCUAAUAUUGUAUUUUUUAGGAAUUUUAGGAAUGCAUAUGUUGGCUUUUUUUCCAAUGAUGGCAUAAUAAAAUAGCCACUAAGACUUCCUUGUUUCUUGCCACCCAUGUAAAACUGGCAUUGCUCUUUCAAUUGCAGGAAAACAAGUUAAGGAAAUGAACACUUAAAAGUUUGAACUCAUGGCUUCAGUCAUAUUUGUUGUGCUCAACUGCACUCCCCAGGGGAUCAUCAACAAGAAGUGAAUCGUUUGCAUAGUUUUACAUGCCCAUUAUCUGUAUAAAUUUUAAAAAACAAACAAAAACAAAGUGUAAGUGUGAACCUAAAACAGCAUCCUACACAUACAAGAAAAAAGUUAAUAUUCCCAAUUGUAUCAAUAGUUUAUUACAUACCAUCUCAUAAAAACAUUUUCAACUUUUUCCACAUAUAAACACCGCAAAUUGGUACAUUUACAAAUCUUCAACCAUCCAAAUUCAUACAAAAAAGGAACACUGUGAUAGAGCAAUACACAAGACGGUCUAUUAUUACAAGGACGGCAUGUACUCUGUGUAUGUAUGCAUGUAUAAACCUCGGCAUGUAAGAAUCUCUAUGCAUGUGCGUUUGGCUAUAAAGUCCAGAUAUUGUGAUCAAAUAUUUACUUUGAUCAAAUGUGGAUUAAAACCAGUGGAGACACAUAUACAAGUUAAACAUUUUGGAUGUCAACCUGAUUUAGGCACUGGUGACAGGCUGAUUAGGAAUGAGGUAACCUGAUCAGCCGUUGGGUAAUACUGACACCACAGUAAUUUACCAGUGUGUGACUUCUCAGAAUAAAAUGUUAUCUACAUUAAGGACCUUUUUCCAUCGCUGUAUUACAGUUAAAAGUUAAGUUUUAACCACAGAACAAGAAAUUGUACUAGAUAUUCCUAACUCACCCAAAAUCAAUUCAUGUUUACUGUAUGACACAAACCACAAAGACACCCCUUAUUUUUAGUUUUUCUUUUUUCCUUUUUUUUGUCACCAUGAUGCUAGUUUCAAAAAAAGUGAGUCAAAAAUGGUCAUGCACACACUCACACAGGCGCGCACACACUCACACAUACGCACAUGCAAAUAAAUUAACAUGGAAAAAAGUAAACAAUUUCCAAAUGACAAAAAAAAAAAAAAGAAAAGAAAACCAAACCCAAAACAUCUUUUUGGUUGGGUUUUAAAAUGUGUGGCUAAAUGCAAAAAAUACAUAAGAUAGCAGCUUAAAUCAUGGUACAUUCACAUGAGUUGUUUACUACUACUAAUCUUAGUGGCAUAAACAAGGUAAAAGUAUUCAUGGUACACAUGUUCCAGGCUGAUCGUGCAGAGUGGAGACCGAGGCUAAACUGAAUAUUGAUGUGCAAUUUCGGAAAACCACAAUGUGACUGAGAAACUGUGCAAUCAAAGAAAAGAAAUCCUGUGUCCUUCUUGUGAAUUAGCAGUUUGCAAGUCGUGGAUUCACAUCACAGCGGUCGGCUUCUCCUUCACUGGGAUUUUCUUUAACGUAAGAAUCCCGCUGUUGUUGAAUCGAGGCUGUCUGCUUCGGUUACAGAGGACGUAUUAAGAUGCAACGAGCUCCGAUUUUUUAUUUCAGUGUGGCUUCUUUACUGUCACCUCACUUUGGGCUAGGAACAUGCGGAGAAGUCCCAGAUGCCGGGGACUGAGGGGAGCUCUGGUAGGUCCGCAACAGCACUUUGUGCUUGGUGGCUUCCUCUGUGCGACGGCUUUGUUGUUCCACCAGGAACUCUUUAAGUCGGCUGGAGGCGAAGGUGAGAGUCUGUCUCCUGAGCUUCAUCAGGUAGGAGUCCUGCAGCCAGGCAUGUGUGAAGCAAUCUUUUGUAGUCGGGCGGGCCC